UUUGGUGGGCCCAUGCAGUCCGAUCCAACAGACAUGGUACUGCAGCUCAGACGUCUGCAGACGUUUAAGGGUGGUUUUGACGGAAAGGAGUGAAAGAUACAAGGACCAGUCAGGAUACCCAUCCUGACAUAAUCUUACCUGAUUGUGUACAAAUACAGGUUGAUUGUGUCUGGCUUCCACAAACAAAUAAUGCUUAGAGAAUAUUUGCAAAUUAUCUUGUCAAACAGAAGUAUAACCAUUUUCCUGUCGGGUCUGGGAUUUUCUGUUUGUUUUUGCCUGCUAUUUACACUACCUUACCACUAGAUCCCACCAGAGCUCCGGAGGUGAGAGGGAGGCAGGUGUUCGCAAUCUUCAUCAAACUGGAGGAGUAUCAGAGAGGAGUCGGCCAGCACUGAGUGUUUGCCUAAUGUGGCUCCACUGCAGAUCUGUUCUAGUUCAACUGACUCCUCGUUUGAACUGCUUCCCAAGCUUCAAGAUUUCAAGGAAAGUUUGGGAUUCCAUUCCAGCUGGUUGCUACUAGCUCUCGUACCUCCUGGCUUCAAGCUCAAGCGAACCCUGUCCACCCUCCAAUGUUUACUCACCUCCAAGCCCGGCAUCUGGAGCUCAUCACCUCAGCAAGUAAGCUGCCUUCAGAGAAACCUCACCGCUGCACACUGAGUGUAGGAUCAAGAGGAAAAUCAAUUCGGGCACCUCUGUGGUCAUCUUCCGUCCCAGCUCCGACCCCCUCCAUGCAUGAUCAUCAACAUCACUCAUCGGUGUAUCCAGUUCCCAGCACACAUUCACCUUCUGUAAAUAAAUUCAUUAACUUUU